UGAAGCGCUGCACUCAUUAACUACAGUGUGCCCACGUCCUGUUUAUUUGUGGGGAUAUCAGACGCAUCGUACCAGUGGUCCCAGCCGGAGGUGUCCUGCAAUGCAGGGGAGGGUCCCAGCUCGUGUGAAUUCCUCAAGGAGGCUCUCUUUGACCACCCAGCUGAUUUAAAAGUCAACCUUGAGCAAAUAAUAGUGCAGAAUCGACGAGGCUUCUGCCACGGUCGUGGAAACCGUCCAGG